GCAUGCAAUAGGCUUUCCAAUUGAAAAAGCCCAAUGUCUACCCCAAAUGGACUCACCAUCUCCAACAGAUAACACUGUUCACAAACUGCUCCAAACAAAUCUAUCGUAGUCCAGCCUUUACUUCCGUGACAAAUGUUCAUCACUUUGCAACACGUUAUAAUGCUCGCCCAGCUGCUAGCGUAGCACAACCUCUUACUCUGCUUCUGAUUAGCUAGCCAUGCUUACCUAGCUACUGCACAUGUGCGACUACCAACAAAGAUGGAACAGAAGUGUGAUGGCUCACUCGGUAGCUAAAACUGAGAGCUCAACACACAGGGUGAAAAAAGGAGCUGCGGCAAUGUGCAGUACAACAAAAAUAUGGUGUUUU